AACGGCCAUACCAUGCUGAUUAUACCGGUUCUCGUUUGAUCAGCAUCAUCGGGCGCGGUCAGUACUUGGGAGUGUGACCACCUGGGAACACUGCGUGACGU